CUCCAAGAGAGAAGUUUGUCUGUGAACCGUCGUCUCUGUCGGUACAGUCAGUCAAAAAAAAAAAUAGCUCCAGCCACAACUAACCUCCAAUGUGGAAGUGUUGUACGCGGGUCCCUAGGAUCAGUGUGCUUCCGGUAUGCGCAGUGCACUUGCGCAGUGUAUGCACGUGGAAUAAGCUAUAGCAGUCGACAAAAACUAUCAAUCAACCAACCCACAUUUUUAAUAACUAUUUCCAAUCCCUUAGGGGAAAAAGGUGGAUUUACUCAUUUUCAAGUUGUCUUUUUCCCAGGUCUUUUGUAUAUCGUUUCGACGUGCUCAAUUCUUGAAAUUGCCACGUUGAUCUGUGAAAAACUUGCGAAGACAUUCAUAAAGAUCGGCUACAGCAAUCAAGUCUACAGUAGAAGCCUGGAUUUGAACAUUCACUUUGUUUAUUCUCUCCAAAAUAAUAUUCCACACAACAACUAUCAACGCCGUUUCCAGUUUUUCCAAUUUUGAAAGAAUUCCCGCUGCUUCGUUUCGUGUUACAGGAUUUUCGGUACAAUCAUCUCUAAUUAAUUCCAAAGCUUUAAGGAUUUCGUGCCAAGAAUGUCGCAAACUUCUACACGCAUCUUCUCUAGCUGACCAACGUGUGAGGUUUACUGUUUUUAGUGUCUUCCCUUCUCCGAUUUCAGUCAUCAAUUUCUUCCAGCGUUGUGUCGAACUCACAAAAAAAGCGCAGAUUUCUUGGAACAGCAUGAAAAAUCGACAAGCUUCUGGACAAGAUUCAGCAGUCGCAGCUGCCACUAGAUUCAAAGAGUGGACAGAGCAAGGAACGUAAAAGAUAAACGGUGAUUAACUUUGAAUUUUAGCUUGUAAGCCAUUGUAUGUACCAGACAUAUUCGCAACAUUAUAAUACGAUUGUCCACGACAGUCUUCAAUGUUUAUGCCCAAAGUUUUUAGUUCCGAAGUAAUAGCAGAAAACAUCUGUUCAGCUUUAUGUCCUACUGAAGGCAAAAACUUAAUUUAUAAAUUAAGUUUUACUUAAUAUAUAAAACGUAAUUUUAUAUAUACCUCAUUUGUAAUUUUAUGUAUGAUACCGGGUGAAAAAAAAUCAUGGCAAAAAGUAAAAACUUUUGAAACCCGAUUAUUGAUAAACGUCGUUUCUUUUAUUAUUUCGUUUCAUACCCAAUUGUAAUGAAAAUGAGAUGGAAAGUUUAUAUUUAAGAGUUUUUUUAGUGGUAAUCAUUGUUAUCCUAUGGAAACCAAGCACGAAACAUGUUUACAAUAAUUUGAUGAAAAUCAUAAAAAAUAAGUAAUUUUAUUCAAAUUAUAA